rnacentral:rRNA from 1 species
UACGUAGUUGGCAAGCGUUAUCCGGAAUUAUUGGGCGUAAAGCGCGCGUAGGCGGUUUUUUAAGUCUGAUGUGAAGCCCACGGCUCAACCGUGGAGGGUCAUUGGAAACUGGAAAACUUGAGUGCAGAAGAGGAAAGUGGAAUUCCAUGUGUAGCGGUGAAAUGCGCAGAGAUAUGGAGGUACACCAGUGGCGUAGGCGACUUUCUGGUCUGUAACUGACGCUGAUGUGCGAAAGCGUGGGGAUCAAACAG